UGCAGUCGAGCGCGGGAAGCGAGUGGAUCCCUUCGGGGUGAAGCUCGUGGAACGAGCGGCGGACGGGUGAGUAACACGUGGGCAACCUGCCUGUAAGAUCGGAAUAACCCCGGGAAACCGGGGCUAAUGCCGGGUAAUACUUUUCUUCGCAUGAAGAUAAGUUGAAAGAUGGCUUCUCGCUAUCACUUACAGAUGGGCCCGCGGCGCAUUAGCUAGUUGGUGAGGUAACGGCUCACCAAGGCAACGAUGCGUAGCCGACCUGAGAGGGUGAUCGGCCACACUGGGACUGAGACACGGCCCAGACUCCUACGGGAGGCAGCAGUAGGGAAUCUUCCGCAAUGGACGAAAGUCUGACGGAGCAACGCCGCGUGAACGAUGAAGGUCUUCGGAUCGUAAAGUUCUGUUGUCAGGGAAGAACAAGUACCGUGCGAAUAGAGCGGUACCUUGACGGUACCUGACGAGGAAGCCCCGGCUAACUACGUGCCAGCAGCCGCGGUAAUACGUAGGGGGCAAGCGUUGUCCGGAAUUAUUGGGCGUAAAGCGCGCGCAGGCGGUUCCUUAAGUCUGAUGUGAAAGCCCACGGCUCAACCGUGGAGGGUCAUUGGAAACUGGGGAACUUGAGGACAGAAGAGGAGAGUGGAAUUCCACGUGUAGCGGUGAAAUGCGUAGAUAUGUGGAGGAACACCAGUGGCGAAGGCGACUCUCUGGUCUGUUUCUGACGCUGAGGUGCGAAAGCGUGGGUAGCAAACAGGAUUAGAUACCCUGGUAGUCCACGCCGUAAACGAUGAGUGCUAGGUGUUAGGGGGCUUCCACCCCUUAGUGCUGAAGUUAACGCAUUAAGCACUCCGCCUGGGGAGUACGGCCGCAAGGCUGAAACUC
rnacentral:rRNA from 1 species